UCCAUCUUUCAUGCUUCAGCUAGAUGUGUCUUCUAGAAAACCGUGCCACAUGGACAUUCCGCACUUUCCUCAGUUCCAGGAACACCAUGCCGGCAUGUCACUUCAGGAAAUGAGUGAUUCCUUCCUGAGGUGUCUUCCUUCCUUCCUGCCAUGACUUCCGACUUCCUAGGUAAAAUGAGAAUGAGCCAUAUAAUCUUGAAGCCCCAUGGAAGAAGAAAGUGACUUGUGUCAAAUGCCCCCUUAUCAUGCCUUGACAGAUAAGUGAGCCUGGAAGAGGGAACCACCAAGAAUCCUGAUACUGGGAUGUGACGAUGGACCUCAAGCCAAGCCACCAUCAGGAGGCUGGAGCAGUCAGCUGAGAAGC